UGGGAGUCAGGUCUCACUAGUGAUGACUGGGAGUCAGGUCUCACUAGUGAUGACUGGGUAAGGACUGGCAGUCAGGUCUCACUAGUGAUGACUGGGUAAGGACUGGCAGUCAGGUCUCACUAGUGAUGACUGGGUAAGGACUGGGAGUCAGGUCUCACUAGUGAUGACUGGGUAAGGACUGGCAGUCAGGUCUCACUAGUGAUGACUGGGUAAGGACUGGCAGUCAGGUCUCACUAGUGAUGACUGGGUAAGGACUGGCAGUCAGGUCUCACUAGUGAUGACUGGGUAAGGACUGGCAGUCAGGUCUCACUAGUGAUGACUGGGUAAGGACUGGCAGUCAGGUCUCACUAGUGAUGACUGGGUAAGGACUGGGAGUCAGGUCUCACUAGUGAUGACUGGGAGUCAGGUCUCACUAGUGAUGACUGGGUAAGGACUGGGAGUCAGGUCUCACUAGUGAUGACUGGGUAAGGACUGGCAGUCAGGUCUCACUAGUGAUGACUGGGUAAGGACUGGCAGUCAGGUCUCACUAGUGAUGACUGGGUAAGGACUGGCAGUCAGGUCUCACUAGUGAUGACUGGGUAAGGACUGGCAGUCAGGUCUCACUAGUGAUGACUGGGUAAGGACUGGCAGUCAGGUCUCACUAGUGAUGACUGGGUAAGGACUGGCAGUCAGGUCUCACUAGUGAUGACUGGGUAAGGACUGGGAGUCAGGUCUCACUAGUGAUGACUGGGUAAGGACUGGCAGUCAGGUCUCACUAGUGAUGACUGGGUAAGGACUGGCAGUCAGGUCUCACUAGUGAUGACUGGGUAAGGACUGGCAGUCAGGUCUCACUAGUGAUGACUGGGUAAGGACUGGCAGUCAGGUCUCACUAGUGAUGACUGGGUAAGGACUGGCAGUCAGGUCUCACUAGUGAUGACUGGGUAAGGACUGGCAGUCAGGUCUCACUAGUGAUGACUGGGUAAGGACUGGCAGUCAGGUCUCACUAGUGAUGACUGGCAGUCAGGUCUCACUAGUGAUGACUGGCAGUCAGGUCUCACUAGGGAUGACUGGCAGUCAGGUCUCACUAGGGAUGACUGGCAGUCAGGUCUCACUAGGGAUGACUGGCAGUCAGGUCUCACUAGGGAUGACUGGCAGUCAGGUCUCACUAGGGAUGACUGGCAGUCAGGUCUCACUAGGGAUGACUGGCAGUCAGGUCUCACUAGUGAUGACUGGCAGUCAGGUCUCACUAGUGAUGACUGGCAGUCAGGUCUCACUAGGGAUGACUGGCAGUCAGGUCUCACUAGGGAUGACUGGCAGUCAGGUCUCACUAGGGAUGACUAGAAAAACAAGGUCGACCCGCCACAGUCCAGAGCACAGUGGAGGAUGAAUCACAAAACAGGGAGCACUAGUUAACCAGCUAGUUAUUCAGUCAGCUGGCUAACUAGCUGGCUAUCUGGUUAACAUUCAGAUAUAGCUCUUGAUUUGUUCUGAAGGAUAAGUGGUCAGGAAGCUCAGA